ACAAUCUACACAGUAGAUAUCAAUGCUCCACAAGACACUCGAUCAAUAUAAUAAUGACUAUUUUGGGACAUCACCUAAGGGCAAGUCAUACCCCGUGUCUUUUGGGACUCAUACCCAAGGGCAGGACCAACCCCGUGUCUUUAGGGACUAAAACCCAGGGGCAGGACCAACCCCAUACACCCACAUCGGAGUGUCUUCCUCGAGGGCUUUAGGGACUUUCACCCAAGGACCCACGGUCCCACAUAAACAAUAUAUCAAAU
rnacentral:lncRNA from 1 species